rnacentral:rRNA from 1 species
UACGAAGGGGGCUAGCGUUGCUCGGAAUCACUGGGCGUAAAGGGUGCGUAGUCGGGUCUUUAAGUCAGGGGUGAAAUCCUGGAGCUCAACUCCAGAACUGCCUUUGAUACUGAAGAUCUUGAGUUCGGGAGAGGUGAGUGGAACUGCGAGUGUAGAGGUGAAAAUUCGUAGAUAUUCGCAAGAACACCAGUGGCGAAGGCGGCUCACUGGCCCGAUACUGACGCUGAUGCACGAAAAGCGUGGGGAGCAAACAGG